GACGAACGCUGGCGGCGUGCCUAACACAUGCAAGUCGAGCGAUGAAAUCCCUUCGGGGAUGGAUUAGCGGCGGACGGGUGAGUAACACGUGGGUAACCUGCCUCAAAGUGGGGGAUAGCCUUCCGAAAGGAAGAUUAAUACCGCAUAAUAUUAGAUUUUCGCAUGAAGAACUAAUUAAAGAAGUAAUUCGCUUUGAGAUGGACCCGCGGCGCAUUAGCUAGUUGGUGAGGUAAUGGCUCACCAAGGCGACGAUGCGUAGCCGACCUGAGAGGGUGAUCGGCCAAAUUGGAACUGAGACACGGUCCAGACUCCUACGGGAGGCAGCAGUGGGGAAUAUUGCACAAUGGGGGAAACCCUGAUGCAGCAACGCCGCGUGAGUGAUGAAGGUCUUCGGAUUGUAAAGCUCUGUCUUUUGGGACGAUAAUGACGGUACCAAAGGAGGAAGCCACGGCUAACUACGUGCCAGCAGCCGCCGUAAUAC
rnacentral:rRNA from 1 species